rnacentral:lncRNA from 1 species
UUUGCCGUGUACACAUUCAACCAGCAGAGCGAGGACUGGUAUGCCUACAAGCUGGUGCGUGUCCUGGAUGCCUGGAAGGAGCAGGGUUAUGAUAAGACGACAUUCUCCAUGAAUCUGCACCUGGGCCGAACCACGUGUGGGAAAUUUGAAGACGACAUUGACAACUGUCCUUUUCAGCAAGGCCCAGAGCUGAGCAAUACCCACACCUGCUUCUUCACCAUCGGAAUAGAACCCUGGAGGACACAUUUUGAACUCUGGAACAAGACAUGCUCAGCCGGGCGUUCCUGAGUGGGACCCAGCCACAGGCCUGGCCACAUGCUGUUGGCUCCUUUCCAGCACACUGGCCGUUCCUCAACACGGCCCUGCAGUGCCUGAGCAGCUCUGUGCUCGCGUGUUCUUAUUUUCCAUGUGUUAGAUACUCAUGCUCAGACGGAGGGCCUGGGCAGUUGAUGGAGUUAUUCUCAGCACAGCAGCCUCCUGGGCUCUCAAGGGGUGCAUGUCUACUCACUGUGUUAGCUGAGAACAACCGGCAGCUGUGGACACCCUGCCCACAUGUCCCAGACCACGCCUCAGCACGCCUCCUCUGCAAAGAUUUUACAAGUAACUAUUUUGGUCUUUGUAGGCCAUAUAGUCACUUUCUCAACUAUCCAACAAUGCCUUAGUGUGUUGAAAGCAGCCAUAGACAAAAAUAACCAGGAGUAGUCUUCCUCGGGCCGUGGUUGCCAACCCCUAAGGUCAAGUCUGAGAGUCACACUCCAUCUUCAGGAGGGAGGCAGGUGAAUGUCCCAGUCUCCCAGCGUCCGGGCACCCAAUUUAGAGGCGUGUGCCACAUGGUUCUCCGAGCUCCGCAGCAGGAUGAACGCCCGGCCCCAGUGUAAUACAUUGGUAACAGACACGCUGCGUUUCCCCUUCUCUGUUUCCCUUUCUCACUUGUGCCUCCUGGGAUCACCUCCAAAUAAACUACCUGCACCUGCCAGUCUGCGUUUCAGGGUCACCCUGCGGGGUCCCAGCACUGUGUAGACCAUUAUCACUGGGUGUGCCCUCCACAGACGUGCUGGGAGGGUGGUCCCUAGACCAUGGGCAUUCAGGCAAGCAGAGGGGAGAGCCAGGCCCGGAGACCUCCCUGUGGCUUGCAGGCACUGAGGUGGGCACGGCUGCCGCACUUGUCCUAUCUGGUCUCUGGACCCCACACAGCCCUGCCCUGCCUUGUUCCACACUUGAGCAGGUUUUCCUUUGAGACCCUCCCAUUAACUCCCCUGCGCGCUCCCAUCCUUGGUCCUUCUCUUGACCCUGACACAUCAGCAGAAGGAAGCUCAGAGGAGGCGCUUUAUCCACAGUGAUUCCCGCAAGUGUCUUCCAAAGAGUCAGCCCCACUCAUUUCAUUCGAACAUCAUUUCUGAGGCAGUUCCCAGGACAGGGUCUCAUGGGGAGUGAGCCCGCUGUGGGGGGUGACCUGGCCCAGGACCC